GAGGAUGUAGCUCAGUGGUAGAGCACUGACCUAGCAUGUUUGAGAACAUGGGCUCAAUCCCCAGUACCCCA
rnacentral:tRNA from 1 species